rnacentral:rRNA from 1 species
AACGAACGCUGGCGGCAGGCUUAACACAUGCAAGUCGAACGCCCCGCAAGGGGAGUGGCAGACGGGUGAGUAACGCGUGGGAACAUACCCUUUUCUACGGAAUAGCUCUGGGAAACUGGAAUUAAUACCGUAUACGCCCUACGGGGAAAAGAUUUAUCGGGGAAGGAUUGGCCCGCGUUGGAUUAGCUAGUUGGUGGGGUAAAGGCCUACCAAGGCGACGAUCCAUAGCUGGUCUGAGAGGAUGAUCAGCCACAUUGGGACUGAGACACGGCCCAAACUCCUACGGGAGGCAGCAGUGGGGAAUAUUGGACAAUGGGCGCAAGCCUGAUCCAGCCAUGCCGCGUGAGUGAUGAAGGCCUUAGGGUUGUAAAGCUCUUUCACCGAUGAAGAUAAUGACGGUAGUCGGAGAAGAAGCCCCGGCUAACUUCGUG